UACGUAGGGUGCAAGCGUUGUCCGGAAUUAUUGGGCGUAAAGAGCUCGUAGGCGGUCUGUCGCGUCGGCUGUGAAAACCCGAGGCUCAACCCCGGGCCUGCAGUCGAUACGGGCAGACUAGAGUGCGGUAGGGGAGACUGGAAUUCCUGGUGUAGCGGUGGAAUGCGCAGAUAUCAGGAGGAACACCGGUGGCGAAGGCGGGUCUCUGGGCAGUAACUGACGCUGAGGAGCGAAAGCGUGGGGAGCGAACAGG
rnacentral:rRNA from 1 species